UCUCCAUAAGGGCAGGAACAUCUGUCUUUUUCAACAAUGCAUUUUUGGGGCAUAAUGCUAAGUAAAUGAUCCUCAAUAUAAAUGUGCUGAAUGAAAGAAUUAAUGGAUGAAUGAAUAAAAGUGAAUUGUGACUACCUAGGAACUAUGGAAAAGAUGAAAAGAGAGUUCAGGCAGUUGGCUUAAGGCAUUGCUUCUGAUACCAAAGACAGCGUUGCUGAAUACCUGAAAAUUCUCCUGUGAUAAAGACCCAGCCAGCAUCCUCGAGUGUGGACCACGUUAAGGGAAAGCUUGAAGGAAAAGAGGGACUUUGCGGACCCCAAUUAAAUAGUUUACCCUAGAAGAAUAGAACCUAUUUGGGGUGGGGUGAGUGGCUGCAAGAGGGACGUUUCCCCAGGACAUCAUGCACAAAAGGGGCUUCAAAUGUAGUCUUUUGACUUAUCUCCAAAUGAAGAUUUCUAUGUUGGAUGCAUGUAGAAAGCUUUCAUAUUGAAGCAGAGUUUUCAGUGAAGUUGGAAAAAGAAGAACAAAGGUGAAGAUAUCCACUUAGCAACUCUCAUCAUUUGUGUGUCACCAUGGCUUCAGAGACAGGGAUACACAUUUAGUAUGAAAAGGAGGCUUGGAGGUUAGCGGAGAGUUGGUGGUGGUAUAGAGUAAGAAGACCUUUUCAAAGUUUGCUUUCUUGAAGAGCACUAGCUUCCCUGGCAUGGCCAAUGGGGUGUUUGCUGUUCAGUAGCUAUAACUUAAAGUGCUUAAAACCACAAGAUUUACUGCUCCUAAAGGUACCGAAUACAGCUAUUCAGUAUGCAUGCACAUUUGUUUACAGUUCUUCAGUGCUGAGGUUAUAAAACAAUAUGGACCCUCAAAUCUCAUGGAAAAACCAGUCUAAUACGUGAGAUGAACACAAUUCAGUCUGUUGAUUGCUGAAACAACAGGAGUAAUCGUUCCAGACAAUGACCACG
rnacentral:lncRNA from 1 species